GACGAACGCUGGCGGCGUGCCUAAUACAUGCAAGUAGAACGCUGAAGAGAGGAGCUUGCUCUUCUUGGAUGAGUUGCGAACGGGUGAGUAACGCGUAGGUAACCUGCCUUGUAGCGGGGGAUAACUAUUGGAAACGAUAGCUAAUACCGCAUAACAAUGGGUGACUCAUGUCAUUUAUUUGAAAGGGGCAAAUGCUCCACUACAAGAUGGACCUGCGUUGUAUUAGCUAGUAGGUGAGGUAACGGCUCACCUAGGCGACGAUACAUAGCCGACCUGAGAGGGUGAUCGGCCACACUGGGACUGAGACACGGCCCAGACUCCUACGGGAGGCAGCAGUAGGGAAUCUUCGGCAAUGGGGGCAACCCUGACCGAGCAACGCCGCGUGAGUGAAGAGGGUUUUCGGAUCGUAAAGCUCUGUUGUAAGUCAAGAACGAGUGUGAGAGUGGAAAGUUCACACUGUGACGGUAGCUUACCAGAAAGGGACGGCUAACUACGUGCCAGCAGCCGCGGUAAUACGUAGGUCCCGAGCGUUGUCCGGAUUUAUUGGGCGUAAAGCGAGCGCAGGCGGUUUGAUAAGUCUGAAGUUAAAGGCUGUGGCUCAACCAUAGUUCGCUUUGGAAACUGUCAAACUUGAGUGCAGAAGGGGAGAGUGGAAUUCCAUGUGUAGCGGUGAAAUGCGUAGAUAUAUGGAGGAACACCGGUGGCGAAAGCGGCUCUCCGGUCUGUAACUGACGCUGAGGCUCGAAAGCGUGGGGAGCGUACAGG
rnacentral:rRNA from 1 species